rnacentral:lncRNA from 1 species
UCCACAACCAACUAGCAUUGGAGUUGAUUCAAAUUUGUGUUGAUUCAAACCUCAUGAUCGAAUACAUAGUGUAAAUUUGUUUAUUUAUCCUCUAAAGCACAGAAGAUGUGUUGGUUCAAACCUAAUCCAGUGUUGAUGCCAUGUAGCCACCUUCAGACUGAUGCAUAAAGAUAUUACCCGCAAUCUGCAUCUUCCAUUCCAAUUUUUGUGAUCGAAUCAGUUGAUCAGGAUUAGAUGUCAUUCCAUAAUCACAAAUUCACGUGUUAGAAUUUUCCAGAAAAUAUAAUUUGUAAUAUUACUAGAACAAACAAAAAGGCAUAUAAGGAAAAAUUUCAAACAAGGCUGGUUUCUCAACAGAAUAAAUAUCAUAAUAGUAACUAGCAGACAAUUUUUCUCAUAAUAUCAUAUUAAAGGAACCCAUCGAAGGAGUUGCGGACACAAAUAUUCUAAAAUAUAGACUGUGAUAAAGAAACCUGUAGAGGAGUUGUAAACUACUGGAUGAUGAUGGAAAACAAAGAUGUCAAGUGUAGUGGAACAGAUCUUCAAUUCCUGGAAUUCGAGCUCAUUAUACCAAUCCCAACCUUAUCAAACACACCCAAGUAAUGGCUCCAAUCCACAACUAUUUUUACUUCGG